rnacentral:rRNA from 1 species
GAUGAACGCUGGCGGCGUGCCUAAUACAUGCAAGUCGAGCGAACAGACGAGGAGCUUGCUCCUCUGACGUUAGCGGCGGACGGGUGAGUAACACGUGGAUAACCUACCUAUAAGACUGGGAUAACUUCGGGAAACCGGAGCUAAUACCGGAUAAUAUAUUGAACCUCAUGGUUCAAUAGUGAAAGACGGUUUUGCUGUCACUUAUAGAUGGAUCCGCGCCGCAUUAGCUAGUUGGUAAGGUAAUGGCUUACCAAGGCAACGAUGCGUAGCCGACCUGAGAGGGUGAUCGGCCACACUGGAACUGAGACACGGUCCAGACUCCUACGGGAGGCAGCAGUAGGGAAUCUUCCGCAAUGGGCGAAAGCGUGACGGAGCAACGCCGCGUGAGUGAUGAAGGUCUUCGGAUCGUAAAACUCUGUUAUUAGUGAAGAACAAAUGUGUAAGUAACUAUGCACGUCUUGACGGUACCUAAUCAGAAAGCCACGGCUAACUACGUG